ACUCAAAGGAAUUGACGGGGGCCCGCACAAGCGGAGGAACAUGUGGUUUAAUUCGAUGAUACGCGAGGAACCUUACCCGGGCUUGAAAGUUAGUGACGGACUGAGAAAUUGGUCUUCCCUUCGGGGCACGAAACUAGGUGCUGCAUGGUUGUCGUCAGCUCGUGCCGUGAGGUGUCGGGUUAAGUCCCAUAACGAGCGCAACCCUUACUGUUAGUUGCCAGCGGGUAAAGCCGGGAACUCUGACAGGACUGCCGGUGUAAGCCGAGAGGAAGGUGGGGAUGACGUCAAAUCAGCACGGCCCUUACGUCCGGGGCGACACACGUGUUACAAUGGUCGGUACAGAGGGUAGCUACCCCGCGAGGGGAUGCCAAUCUCGAAAGCCGAUCUCAGUUCGGAUCGGAGGCUGAAACUCGCCUCCGUGAAGUUGGAUUCGCUAGUAAUCGCGCAUCAGCCAUGGCGCGGUGAAUACGUUCCCGGGCCUUGUACACACCGCCCGU
rnacentral:rRNA from 1 species